CUGCAGACACUUGCAAGUUAACCUUCAAACAAAUGUUAUUUUAUUUUAUUAAUAUUAUAAUUUUUUUAUUUUUACAAUUUAUUUCCCAACUAUAGGUUUGCCAGGUACUCCGGGCCAUCCAGGAGCUAAAGGUAUAAUUAAUUACUUCAUUUAUUUAUAUAUUCACUUCUAUCUAAUACUAUAACAUUAUGACUGAAGUUUGCAUUAGGUAGAAGUGGUAUGAUGUAUAUACAGAAAUACACUUUGUCUUACCACAUACAUGAUGUUCUCUCUUUAGGUGAGCCAGGUGAGCCCGGAAGAGUCAUUUCUGCAGGCGCUAAUACUAACACUGUGGGUGUACCUGGACCACCUGGACCUCCUGGAGCUCCGGGUCCUGCUGGACCACCUGGACUAUCAGGUCCUAUCGGUCCCGCUGGUCUUCCUGGUCCACCUGGUUCAAAGGGAGAUAGAGGAGACAAAGGAGAAGAUGGGAAGCCUGGAGUCUCUGAGAGCGCAGGGAGUGAGUGUGUUCACUAU
ensembl:lncRNA